GUCCUGGGCUACACACGUACUACAAUGGCCGUUACAGCGGGAAGCGAAGGAGCAAUCCGGAGCAAAUCCCUUAAAGGCGGUCCCAGUUCAGAUUGUGGGCUGAAACUCGCCCGCAUGAAGGCGGAAUUGCUAGUAAUGGCGGAUCAGCAUGCCGCCGUGAAUACGUUCCCGGGCCUUGUACACACCGCCCGUCACACCAUGAGAGUCGGAAACACCCGAAGUCAGUGACUUAACCGCAAGGGGAGAGCUGCCGAAGGUGGGUCUGAUGAUUGGGGUGAAGUCGUAACAAGGUAGCCGUAUCGGAAGGUGCGGCUGGAUCACCUCCUUU
rnacentral:rRNA from 1 species